AAGUAGGUGUCAACUCUCAGCACACCUGUCCCUGUGGCUGCAGCUCAGCAGCCAAUUGUUUGAAGUUAGACAAGCAUCUGGGGACAGAGAUAUUUUAAUUUGUAAUCAGCUUUAAAGCUUUAAAGCCUUCAACACUUGCUCUGAUCAGAAACAGGAGCUUAGGCAGAAAUUUGUCUUUCCUACUUAUUAAAAACAUUUUCCUCCCCUGGCAGGAACCGUAGGCUUGAUCUGAGUCCACUGAAGUAAAGAUAAACCCUUAUCAGCUCUGGCCCAGCCCUUAACACAUGUCUCUGCUAUAAGCGGAUUCAUGCACCUUCCCUGGAAUAAGACAAGGUCUUCCGAAAAUGUUCCAUCUGGAAGGAAGCAGGAAAGCUUCCCAGCAGCACAUCUCAGUGUGCAGUUAAAGUAGAUGACCACAAGGUGGAGUCUUCUGCUCUCUCUGCAAGAAGCGUGCAGAAGAGCUGACUGCCGGAUUCCUUCAGCCCAGAGGGAGAUACCGAGUCCUACUCAUUUUGUAUAGCACUUAACUUGGACCACACUGAAGGAGCAGCAGCAGAUGCAGGAACAUUACUUAAUCAGUUGCUAAUCUGUCCUCAUUAACAAAGAAGUCCUUCUAGAAUGGAUAUUAAGACAAAGAGCUUUUGGCAUUUGUGCAGACUUAAGUGAACAUCUGUGUUUCUGAUGUCAGAAGAUUCAUUGUGUGAUAAUGGAAGUGAAGCCUCAAAGGAAAAUCCUUUUGCUGAUAAAAUGAGGAUUCCCCCAUAUCCAAACAAGCCAAAAUCCCAAGACUUUUAUCCUGUAAAAAUGAAUUAAGAAAACAUCUCCCCUUGAAAACGUGAUGGUGUUCUGUGCUCCCAUCUGGAAAGGUUACAGACAUUUAAUGCAAAGGCUGUGGACUUGAUUUAUCAUCCGCUGAAAUCAAAGGCAAAGGUGUGAUUUUGUUCAUUAUUGUAGCUUUCAUCUCUUCAGCUCAAUCACAUCAGAAUACUCAAAAGCUCUAUAGCUGUGUCUUUUCCUUUUGAGAAUAAAAAGCUAUUAUGGGAAAACUUGUUAUGUUGAAAAACUGAGGGUGCUAGUGGAAUUAAAUGUCUGGGUUAACCUUAGUAGAAAUGUUUUCAUUGAGAUAACUCAAUUUAAUGUGACAUAAUAGAAUUUUCUAGUAUACGUUAAAGUCCAAAUGAAGAUGUGCAAAAGUAAAAAAUGGAAGUCCCUUUGAGAAAUCUGCUUAAAGCUGAUUGUUUGAAACUGCCAUAACCUUAUAACCCCUUAUUCCUGUGAUGAGAUAAUGAUAUAAUUCUGAAGCAGGUGGCUUAGUGAUGCAUGCUGCACUCGGAUCCUUCCUACCUGGUGGCAUUUAUUGAAAGCUGACUGUUGAACUCUCUUCUGUGCCUCAUGCUAUCUAUCUGCCUUGGUGAUGUUGGACACUGUAAUUACAUUUUCCUUCAUUUCCUGUAUGAUUUAUGUGAAAACCUUUCCAUGGUAGGAAAGUAUAAAGUCCAGAUAAUGAGAACAUGACAACAUAUGUGAUUUAAGAUGGUUGUUUAGACUACAGCUAGAACUGCCCGUGACUCAAGCACUUCCAAGGUCAACCAACACAGGUGAGCUCAAGCAGCACGGCACUUUGGAAACUGUAUAUAACAAAAAUGUUUUGCUAUGUUUAAUCAACAUCAAUCUUAACAUCAUUAUUCCUAUAAACUGAGGUGUGUCUUACGGGUCAAGUAAGGAGGAAUGAUGAAUCUGAUUGGGUUGGCAUUCAGCCUGUAGCAUGCUGCCUUUGUGUAAAGAUACUAAGAAUGGUUUUGUGCCAGUGCAUAAUGCUCUGAAGUCUCCAAAGCUUUGGUAUUUUGUUUUAUUAUGCUUUCCAAGUUUCCUUUUUGGCAGCAGUACUAGGUGUAUAUGUAUGGGUUUUUCUUUAAUUAAUAUAUUUCUUAAUGCCAGAUGUGAUUAUUUUUUUUUCCUUAGAAAACUUUUCUAAAUAAAUCAUUAUGCU
ensembl:lncRNA